rnacentral:rRNA from 1 species
GACAGAGGGUGCAAACGUUUGUUCGGAAUUACUGGGCGUAAAGAGCUCGUGGCGGUUUGUCGCGUCGAAUGUGAAAACCCGGGGCUCAACCCCGGGCCUGCAUUCGAUACGGGCAGACUAGAGUUCGGUAGGGGAGUCUGGAAUUCCUGGUGUAGCGGUGAAAUGCGCAGAUAUCAGGAGGAACACCGGUGGCGAAGGCGGGACUCUGGGCCGAUACUGACGCUGAGGAGCGAAAGCGUGGGGAGCGAACAGG